GUUAAACCACUACAAAUAGUAUUUCUUGGAGCAUCUGCUGUCGGGAAAACAAGCAUUAUACAUCAAUUUCUGUAUGGCGUUUUCACCGAAAGAACAUCACCAACGUUGGGGAAAUCUUUCUUUGAGACCAUUCAACUACCAAAUGGAAAAAGUAAAUUGGUUGAGAUAGUGGAUACAUCUGGGUCAGAGGAAUAUCCCGCGAUGAGAGAGAUGUAUAUUCAACGAGGCAAUCAUUUUGUCGUUGUUUACUCUGUAGAUUGUCAGAAGUCGUUUGCGAUUGCGCAAAAUAUAUGUAACGAGAUCAUGGCAAUCAAAGGCAAAAAUUUCCAAAGCAUUUUGCUUGUGGGGAAUAAACUCGACAUGGUGCUAUCAAGAACAGUUUCGACGGACAGGGCUUUCAAAGUAGCAGCAAUGGACAUGAAAAUAUGGUUCCUAGAAACAAGCGCAUUUUUGAAGUUCAAUGUGCAUAAUGUAUUUUGCACAAUAUUACAAAGGGAAAUGGAGAAACAGUGGGUUCGGUCCUUCAGUGAUCCCGAUUUUUCUUGCCAAAGACGCCAACAACAUAUAUAUAGAACAAUCAGUGAUACUUUAUGUACACCCAGGGUAGCUUGUAAAUCGGCUUACUUACUAACAAAAUAGUUUGAUAGUCAAUAAAGUUAUGCUGUUUCAAACUAUUAUUACUUCUUAUGCUGUUACAAACUAUUGACUGUUAUAUUAAACUAUCCACUCUGCAACUCUUUUGCGGAGUAAAUAUACCCAUUUAUUAUAAUCGGUAUGUUGAUGUAAAAAUGUGCUUUUUGUGUGC